rnacentral:lncRNA from 1 species
CUGCUUAUUUAAAUUCUUUUUAAAUGGUAAUGUAAACUUUAGUCAUGAUCCAAGAGUUCUGGCACAGAACAAUAUUAACCUUCUCAGAUAUGAAAAGGGCAAACCUCGAGUAGUCAGCAUCUCUGGUAUCUGAGUCCUGCAGCUAGGAACUCUGGGAGGAUAUGAGAAGCUUCUCUGUGAGGAAAGGUAAUCUCAUCUCACAGAAAAGGAUGAGGUAGUCUUCACCUACUAAUCAACAUCCAACUUGAGACAAUGAUGAUAUCAAUUCAAUAGUUUUCAAAUUCAAUGAAUAGAAUACUUACUGGUUAAAUAUUAGAGGCUCUGAUUAAGGUAAAAAUCCAUACCAGGGUACUUACUCAAACUCCUGCAUUAUUCAGGAAGUCCUAACCAAAUCAAUAAGAAAAUGAAAAAAAAAAAAGAGAAUUAUUUGCCAGUUUAAUUGAUUAAAUGGAAAACCCAAAAUAAUCUACAGAAAAUCUGCUAGAAAUAGAAGUCCAGCAGAAUUGACAAAUAUUUUAAAAUAUUUGUAAAUUUUAAAAUCAAUAGAAUUCCUGUGUUCCAUCAAAAACAAAUAGAAAUGAAAGAGAAAUAAAAUAUUCCAUUCCAAUAAAAAAUACAAUUGAUUAGAAGACUAGGACCAGACCAGACAAAAAGGGGCAAAAUCCUUUUUGAGAACUUCAUAAAAGAUUAACAUUAAACAGAUACAUGAGGUGGGAUGGAAAGGGAGAGAAAAGGGAAAUUGCAUGGUAAUGGAGGGAGACCCUCAUUGUUAUACAAAAUUACAUAUAAGAGGUUGUGAGGGGAAUGGGAAAAUAAACAAGGAGAGAUAUGAAUUACAGUGUAUGGGGUAGAGAG